AGCCAUGCUAGGGACAGGAGGAGAACCUCGCCCUAACAUGAGCAAAGUCAAAGGCCCGGUUCUUUUAAACCGGAUGGGGGGAGAGGCCGAACAGUGCCCCCACAGCCCUGUUAGGGACAGGAGGAGAACCUCGCUCUAACAUGAGCAAAGUCGAAGGCCCAAUUCUUUUAGACCGGGUGGGGGGAGAGGCCCUUGCAACAACCCUUACGCACCCCCACAGCCCCGUUGGGGACAGGAUGAGAAUCUCAUCCUAACCUAAGCU
rnacentral:lncRNA from 1 species